rnacentral:rRNA from 1 species
AGGGCGCAUGGUGAAUGCCUUGGCAUCAGGAGCCGAUGAAGGACGUGAUAAGCUGCGAUAAGCUUCGGGUAGGCGCACAUAGCCAGUGAUCCGGAGAUUUCCGAAUGUGGGAACACACAUGGGAAACCCCAUGUAUCGUAUAGUGAAUACAUAGCUAUACGAGGGUAAACCUAGGGAACUGAAACAUCUAAGUACCUAGAGGAAGAGAAAGAAAAAUCGAUUUUCUGAGUAGCGGCGAGCGAAAGGGAAAGAGCCCAAACCAGUGACUUGUCACUGGGGUUGCGGACAGAACAUUAACGAGAAGAUGUUGUUAACCGAACAUAACUGGAAAGUUAGACCGUAGGAGGUAAUAGUCCUGUAGGUGAAAGUUAAGAUAAUCAAGCUCUGAUCCAGAGUACCACGAGACACGUGAAACCUUGUGGGAAGCAGGGAGGACCACCUCCCAAGGCUAAAUACUACCUGAUGACCGAUAGUGAAGCAGUACCGUGAGGGAAAGGUGAAAAGAACCCCGGGAGGGGAGUGAAAUAGAACCUGAAACCGUGUGCCUACAACCGGUCAAAGCCCCUUAUGAGGGUGAUGACGUGCUUUUUGUAGAACGAGCCAACGAGUUACGGUAUGUAGCAAGGUUAAGUACUUAAGGUACGGAGCCGAAGGGAAACCGAGUCUUAAUAGGGCGACUAGUUGCAUGCCGUAGACCCGAAACCGGGUGACCUAUCCAUGGCCAGGUUGAAGCGAGGGUAAAACUUCGUGGAGGACCGAACCACGUUGCUGUUGAAAAAGCAUGGGAUGAGCUGUGGAUAGCGGAGAAAUUCCAAUCGAACUCGGAGAUAGCUGGUUCUCCCCGAAAUAGCUUUAGGGCUAGCGUCGGAUAUGUGUAGUGGAGGUAGAGCACUGAAUGGGCUAGGGGGCAUAUCGCUUACCGAACCUUAUCAAACUCCGAAUGCCAUAUACAUUAAGUCCGGCAGUCAGACUACGAAUGAUAAGAUCCGUGGUCAAAAGGGAAACAGCCCAGAUCGUCAGCUAAGGUCCCAAAGUGUAAGUUAAGUGGAAAAGGAUGUGGGAUUUCUAAGACAACUAGGAUGUUGGCUUAGAAGCAGCCACUCAUUUAAAGAGUGCGUAAUAGCUCACUAGUCGAGAGAUCCUGCGCCGAAAAUGUACCGGGGCUAAACUUACCACCGAAGCUACGGGCUUGCGUAAGCAAGCGGUAGGGGAGCGUCGUAAUCGGGCUGAAGUCGUACCGUAAGGAGCGGUGGACUGAUUACGAGUGAGAAUGUUGGCAUUAGUAGCGAGAUGUAGGUGAGAAUCCUACAGGCCGAAUAUCUAAGGUUUCCUCAGGAAGGCUCGUCCGCUGAGGGUUAGUCGGGACCUAAGCCGAGGCCGAAAGGCGUAGGCGAUGGACAAUCGGUUGAUAUUCCGAUACCACUACCAUCGUUAUUAUCGAGGGUGUGACGGAGAAGGAUAGUGUGUGCUAGCGAUUGGAAAUGCUAGUCUAAGCGUUUAGGGAGUUACGGUAGGCAAAUCCGCUGUAACAAUUCUGAGGCGUGAUGGGGAAGGUCAUAUAGACCGAAGUACAUGAUUCCAUGCUUCCAAGAAAAGCAUCUAGAGAGAGAAGUAGUGCCCGUACCGCAAACCGACACAGGUAGAUGAGGAGAGAAUCCUAAGGCCGGCGGAAGAAUUGCAGUUAAGGAACUAGGCAAAUUGACCCCGUAAGUUCGCGAGAAGGGGUGCCUGCGAGAGCAGGCCGCAGAGAAUAGGCCCAAGCAACUGUUUAGCAAAAACACAGGUCUCUGCUAAAGCGCAAGCUGAUGUAUAGGGGCUGACGCCUGCCCGGUGCUGGAAGGUUAAGGGGAACACUUAGCGCAAGCGAAGGUGUGAACUUAAGCCCCAGUAAACGGCGGCCGUAACUAUAACGGUCCUAAGGUAGCGAAAUUCCUUGUCAGGUAAGUUCUGACCCGCACGAAUGGCGUAAUGACUUGGGCACUGUCUCAACUGCAAAUCCGGCGAAGUUGUAGUGCGAGUGAAGAUGCUCGCUACCCGCGAUUGGACGGAAAGACCCCGUAGAGCUUUACUGUAGCUUAGCAUUGAAUUCCGGUAUUGUCUGUACAGGAUAGGUGGGAGACUGGGAAACUAGGGCGUCAGCCUUAGUGGAGUCAACCUUGGGAUACCACCCUGACAGUACUGGGGUUCUAACAGGACGCCAUGAAACUGGUGACUGGACAUUGUUAGGUGGGCAGUUUGACUGGGGCGGUCGCCUCCUAAAAAGUAACGGAGGCGUUCAAAGGUUCGCUCAGCUUGAACGGAAAUCAAGCAAAAG